ACCCGGGUGACUUCUGAGGGAUAAUGAAGGGCCAAGAAAGGCUGCCAGGUCCCAGCUCUUAUAAGUUUUCCAUUGUGCAAAGAAGUCUUGAUCUUAUCCUGUAAACCAGAGGGCUCAAGAGGCAGCAGAGAGAGGAGACCUUUUUAUGGACCUUCAUGCUCACCCACAUACCAGGUUUCUGGCAGCAGAGAUGUUGUUCAGAGCACGCUGGAAAAUGGAGGCUUCUCGAUUCCCACUUUUAGCUCUCACCAUUCUGCCGAGACAACUUCUCGCCGGGUUCAGUGUGUGGCAGUGAAAUGCAAAUCAUAACGGAGGAGAGCUGGCCUCCGGGGAAAGGGGGUCUUGGAUGGUUUCCAAGGGCUCCAAGAGCCUGGCGUGGAUGUUUCUUGUUACCUGUUCAAGACAGCAGCCAGAGAUGCUUUGCCUGAUGUUCAAAUUAGCUCAGCCCUUCACGAUUAGCCCAGGCGCCGACUCCUUACUUGUCUCUCCUUGGCGGAAGACCAAUCUGAAGAAGCUUGUUAAAGUGGAGUUGAACCCUGUUCAAAAUCUCCUCCACCCCCUCCCCCACUGCCACCACCUUCUCCAUGAUAGCUCUGCAAAGGAGGAGGGCAUCCUUGUAUCAUGGUCUCAUGGUAGUCAACGAGCUAUUCCGUGAAAGAUGCUCCUCCGGCUGCUCAUAGCACACAGUAAGCACUCAGUAGAGAUUAGCGUGAUUAAUACCAAGGCAUAUAAGAAAAAAUCAUAUUUCUUCUGACUGCUUUUAGAUGAAAGGGAGUGAAAUCAAGGAGAAGAUCUCGGAACAGAAUUUUCCCAUACCGACCCAUGAACGCACUUAUAAAGAAGAGAUAAUUGCUGUGUCAAAAAAAAAAAAAAAAAAAAGCCAAGAUGGUGAGUCACUCUAGAGGUAAUUUGUGUUGUAAAGAACAGUUCCUGGAUGACCUCGGAAGCUGGAGCAGUGGGCACCUGAUGACAUGUGCUGACUCCAGCAGCCCUGCCUUCCAGCAGCAUGGACUUCAAGCUGUAGCAGCUGUGCUUUGAGUCCUUCAGAGCUAAGGGAUUUAAAGCCCUGAGAUUCUAGACACAGGGAGAUAUAUUAUCUCCAAAUGUGAGAGCACCCAAGGGCCUGGGGGACCCUGGCCAUGACGGCUGCUGCCUGCAGUACCUGUUUAUUGGGUAACAACAACAGUACAAGAGGUAAUGUAUUGUUUGCUGAUGCAAUGCUUGACCCAUUAACCCACUAACCCACCAAAGAGGGUUCACCUUUAUGGCAGAUAGGAUUAGGUGGUUAUAAGAGAUUGAAUUAGAGGUGGGUCACUUGAGGUCACACAUGGCAAGUGGGAGAGGAGAGGAUUGGCUCCAGGUAACACUUGGGUUGUCCCCUCACAGUGCUCUCAGACAAGGAGGGGACCCAAGAUGAAGUGGCUUGGGAGAUUGAGCUUUCAGAGCGGGAACAGGUAGCCAAGCUCCCCGACUAGCCUGUCCUGAUUUCUCAGGUCUGCUCACUAUGUAUUCCUGUCAUGGAGCAAGAUGGGGCUUCUAGGAUGACCAUUUUGGGCUAAAUUAACCCAUUCAACUUGGCAGCCGUUCCAAUGAGUCAAACAGCUAAUUCAGCUGGGUAUGAAUUGGGCCAGAUGGAUUGGUCCUCUGAACUCCGUGACGGGAAGCUCCAUCUCUUGGACAGAGAGAACUUGGUCUCAGAUACACUGACAGUAAAUAACCUUAGUCAAGUUCUUCCUAUGAAAAUCAGCACAAACCGGACCAUGGAGAGGGCAUCUGCUGCUUCUGCAACAGUUUCACUCCUAAGACACUUAAUAGACUCAACCAGGGCAAAGGAUACACUGUUCCCUACACCACUAAUGAGAGUGCUCCUGCGAGUUCUCGGGCAGAAUUCUUCCAUUCAGACAGUCAAGGUUAGCCUUCACAUUUGUGAGUCCCAAAGUGAGCUAACAAGUCAGGAACCCCCCCCCCCCAAGAAUUCUGGAAGAAGGAGCUGGAGGUCAGAGUGCAAAGAGGUAUUUGCUUAAGGUUGACUAAGGCAGUAAAUGAUCCGAGGAGACUGGGAACUCUGAAGGCUGAAACCCCGAGGAAUGUUUUCAAGGGAGCAGUGGAUGGUCACUUUGCUCCAUAAAGAUCUGAAGGAUGAGUCCGCUCGCCUUCAUGCGUCUCUUUAUUGCUGUUAAAUAUUUACAGAUAAAUGUUUAAGUGCCCAAGGGCAGGGGAAGCUUUGCUUAUCAGAAACCCCAUUUUAAAAGGCAGUUAACUCUGGGCCUGGCGGACCUAUGAAAAUGGUUUCUGUCCCAUUCACUUCUCAACAGCUGCAAAGCUAAUCGGGUUGGCAUGGGCCAUGCUGAAGGCUUUGCCGGGAAGGAAAGCUUGGAAUGUUCUGAAUGAAUUCAGGGUUGUGAAGGGAAAGGCGGACAAGGGCAAGUGUCCAUAACCACACGACAGAUUGGUCCGAGCUUGCCUGUCUCUGGGCCUGCUGUAUUCAUUCAUAAAUAUCCAAUGGCUAUUUAUUGAGUGCCUUCCCUUUGCCUGGUGUCAUCCUAGGCAUAAUGACAGAGCAGAGACUCUGCCAGAUAAGACCUCUGCCUUCCCACACAUCCAGUUCUGUAAGAGAACACACGGCAGUGGCAUCUAGAUAUUCAAGUGUCACGGCCACAUGUGGAAAGGCUCUGCGCAUCUCUGUGAAAGUAAUUCUCACCUGCAGGGCAGGUGCGCAUUCUUCCUGCCCACCACUAAAAAUAUGCCUAGGGAAAAAUCAAGGGAGCAUGAAAUAGGAUCCCAUACUAAUGUAAGCUAUAAAAUUUAAUUAGUUAUGUGCAUGUUUAAAAAAGAGUGGUGUUCACCACUAUAUAAAUCAGAACAGCAGUUUAUCCUGUAAAAGAAAUUCUAUGUAUGAUCGAUCUCAUAAAGCUGAAAAUCUAGUGUCUUUCACUAAUGGUAUACCUGUACCAAAAUGCCAUGUAAACAAUGUGACAUGGUAGGGUUGGGGUGUGGUGUUCUCCCCCAUCUUCCCUAGAAUUGUGUUGAGUCAUCAAAAUGAGAAUUGUGUUAUUUGGUCAUACUCUCCGUUGACCUGUAAACCGCCAGCUUUCUGUAGGUUUCCGGAGUGGUACUCGUUAGGAUGUUUAGACCACGUUCCUCCAAGAUACCAGCACUCUGGAAAAUUACUUUUGUUCAUCGGACUAUGAAAAGACCUUAGGCACAUUCUGGUUUCUAUGGCCUCCAUAUGAGGCUCAAAUAAUGAGACACUGUUAUGGUCAGUUCCUGAAUAAAUGACCAAGUUGAGUUGUA
ensembl:lincRNA BC055402 cDNA sequence BC055402